ACGAAGGGGGCUAGCGUUGUUCGGAAUUACUGGGCGUAAAGCGCAUGUAGGCGGGUCGUUAAGUCGGGGGUGAAAGCCCAGAGCUCAACUCUGGAACUGCCUUCGAUACUGGCGACCUGGACCCAAGGAGAGGCGAGUGGAAUUGCGAGUGUAGAGGUGAAAUUCGUAGAUAUUCGCAGGAACACCAGUGGCGAAGGCGACUCGCUGGACUUGUGGUGACGCUGAGAUGCGAAAGCGUGGGGAGCAAACAGGAUUAGAUACCCUGGUAGUCCACGCCGUAAACGAUGGAUGCUAGUUGUCAGUAGGCAUGCCUAUUGGUGACGCAGCUAACGCCUUAAGCAUCCCGCCUGGGGAGUACGGCCGCAAGGUUA
rnacentral:rRNA from 1 species